AAAACUUUUAACAAUGGAUCUCUUGGUUCUCGUAUCGAUGAAGAACGGAGCGAAACGCGAUAUUUCUUGUGAAUUUCAGAAGUGAAUCAUCAGUUUUCUGAACGGACAUUGCACUUUGGGGUAUCCCCCAAAGUAUACUUGUUUGAGCGUUGUUUCUCUCUUGGGAUUGCAUUGCUUUUCUAAAAUCUCGCAUCAAAUUCGUUU
rnacentral:rRNA from 1 species